rnacentral:rRNA from 1 species
CAGUCGCCGCGGUAAGACAGAGGAUGCAAGCGUUAUCCGGAAUGAUUGGGCGUAAAGCGUCUGUAGGUGGCUUUUCAAGUCCGCCGUCAAAUCCCAGGGCUCAACCCUGGACAGGCGGUGGAAACUACCAAGCUAGAGUACGGUAGGGGCAGAGGGGAUUUCCGGUGGAGCGGUGAAAUGCGUUGAGAUCGAAAAGAACACCUACGGCGAAAGCACUCUGCUGGGCCGACACUGACACUGAGAGACGAAAGCUAGGGGAGCAAAUGGGAUUAGAUACCCCAGUAGUCCCUGUCUCUUAUAC